AGGCAAGGCAAAGGCGGCGGAGUGAACCUCGGAGGAGUAGUACCUUAGGUCUAUAGAAUCGAUUUCGGACUUUCCAAGCUUGGGAGUAGCGAAGUCCUGGUUUUUGUUCAGGGAGCCCAUGACGAAGCCAAUGUGGCCGCAGGGAUAGGACGGAACGGAGGUGACGGCAUAGGCCACCUUAGCAAAGUGCUCCUUGCAGCCGGACAUGGUCUUCUUGAUGUAGUCCAGGUCCAGCCAGAAGCUACCGCCCUGGGAGCACACGAUUCCGUCAUCCUUCAGCGCGUGUUUCAUUAGCUCGUAGUAGCUUUCCUGAAACAGGCUCACUGCCGGACCAAUGGGAUCCGAGCUGUCGGUGAUGAUGACAUCAAAUUCGUUCUUGUGUUUCUUCAUAUAGUCGAAUCCAUCGCCAAUGGUAAGCUUCAACUUCUCGUUGGCGAAACCACAGGCCAUCGCUGGGAGAUAUUGCUUGGACAGCUCGACGACACGGUCGUCGAUUUCCACCUGAUGCACUUCCUCGACCAGUGGAUGCUUUACCACCUCGCGAGCAACGCCGCCAUCGCCACCGCCCACGAUCAGGACCUUUUUGGGAUUGGGAUGGGCGCAGAGCGGCAGGAAAGAUAUCAUCUCCUGGUACGAGAACUCAUCCCUGGCCGUGCACUGAAUGAUUCCGUCCAGAAUUAGGCACCGUCCAUAGGUUUCGCUGUAAUAGAAUUAUCGAAUUAUUGAUUUUUUCAGCGGCGCAAGUGUACCCAAUGUUCGACUGGAGGAACUCAAACCUGAAAGACGAGCUGACUUGCUAUCAGUAUUCUGUCUGUCGUUUUUGGCCCUAGAUGACUCCAUCGAUAAGGCUGUUGGUGCAGAUCAAGAAUAAACACACGAAAACCAAAGGGUCCGAAAAUGCUGGCUGGGCAAUUUGUGUUUGAACAACCAGUGGAAAAUUUUCGAUUUCUACAAUCUAUGAUUUAGGGACCUUCAAUGUAGGAUACAUAUGGGAUUAGGCUAUUGUAGGUUAGUCCUUAAAAUCUCAACAGCUUAAGCUGUU
ensembl:ncRNA asRNA:CR45053 antisense RNA:CR45053